rnacentral:rRNA from 1 species
CUACGGAGGGUCCGAGCGUUAAUGGGAAUUACUGGGCGUAAAGCGCGCGUAGGCGGCUAUAUAAGUCAGAUGUGAAAUCCCUGGGCUCAACCUAGGAACUGCAUUUGAAACUGUAUGGCUAGAGUAUGGUAGAGGUGAGUGGAAUUUCAGGUGUAGCGGUGAAAUGCGUAGAGAUCUGAAGGAACAUCAGUGGCGAAGGCGACUCACUGGGCCAUUACUGACGCUGAGGUGCGAAAGCGUGGGUAGCAAACAGGAUUAGAAACCCCAGUAGUCC